CUUUUUGGUAAACUACUUGUCCCAACUUUGAACCAUACCAACUCAGAAGAAAUAUGGAAAGAGGGAAAAGAACGUGUUUGCCAAUGAGGAUCCCAGUACAUUGUGCCACUUGAUCGAGUGAUGAUUACAUCAUUUACUAAGAUACAUACGGACGACUAAAAUGUUGCUUCAAUUGCUUUUGCUGUUCUACAUUCAAAACAACUCCGUAAAAGCUCGGGCAUCAGAAUUCGGAAUAUUUGUCCCUUCCAAUUCAAUUAUUGACCCCUUGGUGGACAAUAGGUUCGUUGUUAAUGAGCGGCCCAUGAACCUUUUGGAUGAAAUUGGUCCAACUGAUCCGGGUAUUCCAAACCUAUGGACGCCACUGCCAGCUUCGUCAUUUGUCUGUGAAUGGACUUCAGAAUUUCACAAGAGUUCUUCGGGGUUCCUGGUGAAAAAGCAUAUUAACGUAUUGGUUGAACUAAGGUAGGUCGAAAAGGACAAAUUUUGGUCCUUGUUCCACCACGGAGAAGAGGCUACAAACAAAGACAAAAGGCAUGAUGACCUUCAUACUCAUAUCGAAACGUUGGGCAUUAAUUUAUUUUUUGCAUUGAAGACCAUACGGUUUGAAUGUAAUCAUUGAAGAACUUCAACAAGAGCACGUUGGAAUUUGAUCUCUUCAUGUGCAGAAGACAUCGCACAAAUGAUUUUUGAUUCGUUAACAAAUGUGAGAUAAUGGACAGGCCUGUAAGGACAAAACAUGGACAACUCAUAUUCUGGCCGUGUCUACUCUUGAUCCUGGCCAAAACAACCAGGAGCACACUAAGUGUAUCUCAAAACACAGUCUCAGUUACAAAAAAUGAAGAGCCAAGAAGGUAGUUAAAGUUCGAUUUUUUAGCUAAGUCCUCGUAGGGCUAUUUUGAACCGAAUUUUGAAUGUACGCGUAUGUAUCUUUAUCGCAAUGUAUUGACGUCAAGUUCGUUACAGAAUUUUAGUUGGCGAUGGUAUUGAUGUAAAUAGGGUUGACACAGUCCGCAGCGGUAAACCGCCGUCGAUACUACAUGAUAUUCUUGGAUAGUGCAGAAAUCUCUGUGAUCAGCAUCAAGUGCGUGUCGGCGCAUUUCCGUUCGGUAUUUUAGAUUCCAUGGAAGAAAGAUGGUUCAUUCCUCCAGAGCCAUGAUGAGAUCGACCGGACCAGAUCGACCUCUGCAACCUGCAGAAAUCGUUCAAACAAGGUGAAUUUGACGCCAUUUAGUUCUCCAAAUCCACCUAUCAAUCCCAAACGGUUCGUGACUGUGGCCUUCAGCCACUCGCCCAAUAGUUUCGUACCAAUCAAAAAGUGCGUGAUGGUGUUAUUGCUUCCAUAUCGUAUUCCUAUAUUUCUUUUUGAAGUAUUUUGUCAGAUUGGAAUAAUUCCAUCCCAGGCAGAGAUUGAUACAGACCCACUCAACUAGACUGGCAGACUAUAUUCAAAAUACUGCGUUAGUCUCAUUUUCUAUUUCACUGGAGAAAAGUAAAAUGCUCUUUGUCCAACUAUUUUAUACAUGACAACUUGUUUUUUUUCGUGAAGUAAAGGUCCUUGGAACUCGUAAUCGCCAAACCAGUUGUAAGGCUCUAGAGGAACAUCCAAAAGAAGUAUGGAAUGAUGAAGAUGGCAUCUAACCUUAAUUCAUAAACAUGCAGAUCUGAUCGGUGAUCCAUCAGAAUCGAUUGCUAUGGUCUAAUGCCUGGAUUGUCCUGAGAUCACGAUUCACCUGAAAUAUUCAAGUCCUCAUAUCCAAUGUGGUGUUCUCUGUGGCGAAGAGUGCAUUAUAUUUCAAGUUAUCGAAGGAUCUUGCCGUCUUUUCAUGAAAUUCAUUAGCACAAGCUCAUCUCCGCCAACACCAAUUGCCCAAUCAAGGUUCAAGAUCUUUGCGAAAGGUGAAGUCCCUUCCAACCUUUGGCCAAAUCCAGAAGUGCUAAUCUUUCGUCUGGACUCGUCAGAUGGAACAUUUUGGCCCAGAGAUGUAGUGUCUUUGAACAAGGAUCAUCCAGCAGCGAACAAAUAUUCCAUUUUGGACGAGAUGAAUGAAUACAGAGCAAAUGACGGACAUUUUCAUUUCAAGUUGUGUUAUCCUGGCUUGACGAACAACUCCUGUUAUCGAUGGAGCCAGAGCGAGGAUCCAUUGGAAAUAACUGGGCAAGUCCAUCCCAAGGACUUUAAUUACAAGGAGGGACCUUUCCCUCAAGACCAUCGUUUUAAAGGACUAUCCAGAAGCACUCCCUCCUCCUCUUUACUAGAUAGUGAUUUAUCUGGACCUACUAAAUGGUAUUAUGCCAUUGGGGCGUAUGAAAAACAUCAGAUGUGGAACGAAUAUCCUGGACCACCUUCUAGAACCGUGAAUCUGGUUGAACUGUUCCUUGAAAUAUGAGACUGUUGAUAUUUCUUUA